rnacentral:rRNA from 1 species
AGUGAACGCUGGCGGUAGGCCUAACACAUGCAAGUCGAACGGCAGCACAGUAAGAGCUUGCUCUUACGGGUGGCGAGUGGCGGACGGGUGAGGAAUACAUCGGAAUCUACUUUUUCGUGGGGGAUAACGUAGGGAAACUUACGCUAAUACCGCAUACGACCUACGGGUGAAAGCAGGGGAUCUUCGGACCUUGCGCGAUUGAAUGAGCCGAUGUCGGAUUAGCUAGUUGGCGGGGUAAAGGCCCACCAAGGCGACGAUCCGUAGCUGGUCUGAGAGGAUGGUCCGCCCAACCUGAAAUGAGAACCGGGCCCGACCCCUAAGGGAGGCAGCAGUGGGGAAUUUUUGGAAAAGGGGGGAAACCUGAUCCCACCCAUCCGCGUGGGUGAAAAAAGCCUUCGGGUUGUAAAACCCUUUUUUUUGGAAAAAAAAGCAGGAGGUUUAAACCCCCCUGUUUUGACGGUACCCAAAAAAUAAGCACCGGCUAACUUCGUG